AAUGAACGUUGGCGGCAUGGAUUAGGCAUGCAAGUCGAGCGAGAAAGGUUUUGAAGCUUGCUUUAGAACCUGGACAGCGGCGAAAGGGAGAGUAACGCGUAGUUACCUGCCCCAGGGUCCGGAAUAGCCACGGGAAACUGUGGGUAAUGCCGGAUAAUAUCCCCGGAUCAAAGGUGUGAUUCCGCCCUGGGAGGGGACUGCGUCCUACUAGCUAGUUGGGGGGGUAAUGGCCCACCAAGGCAACGAUGGGUAGCGGGUGUGAGAGCAUGACCCGUCUCACUGGGACUGAGACACUGCCCAGACACCUACGGGUGGCUGCAGGCGAGAAUCUUCGGCAAUGAGCGCAAGCUUGACCGAGCGAUGCCGCGUGCGGGAUGAAGGCCCUCGGGUUGUAAACCGCUGUCGUAGGGGAGGAAAUCUGACGAGGGUUCUCCCUCGUAGUUGACCUAUCCUAGGAGGAAGUACGGGCUAAGUACGUGCCAGCAGCCGCGGUAAUAC
rnacentral:rRNA from 1 species